AUGGGUGACAGUGCGCUCCACCUUGCAGCAAGGGCCGGAAAUGUUGCCCUUGUGCAGAAGAUCUUUGCGGACUGCGAUCCGGAGCUGGUCGCGGAAUUGACUGACCAUCAGAACCAGGACGGUGAGACAGCGCUGUAUGUUUCCGCGGAGAUGGGGCAUGUCGAGGUUGUGUGUGAAAUUCUGAAGGUUUGUGAUCUGCAUUCAGCAUUUCUCAAGGCACACAACAGCUUUGAUGCAUUCCAUAUUGCAGCAAAGCAGGGCCAUCUAGUUGUUUUGCAGGAGCUACUGAAGGCUUUUCCUGCAUUAGCUAUGACAACAAAUUCAGUAAAUGCCACAGCUUUAUACACUGCCGCACUUCACCGCCACAUUGGUAUUGUCAAUCUUCUACUGGAUACAGACCCAAGACUUGCCAGGAUUGCAAGAAAUAAUGGGAAGACAGCUCUGCAUAUAGCAGCAAGACUGGGCAAUGUGGAGGUGGUAGUGUUGUUGUUGAAUAAAGAUCCGGCGACUGUUUUCAGAAUAGACAGGAAGGGACAAACAGCAGUGCACAUGGCUUCCAAAGGCCACAAUGCUGAAAUUCUGCUUGAGCUACUGAAGCCCGAUGUCUCAGUAAUCCAUUUGGAAGAUAACAAGGGGGACAGGCCACUGCAUGUUGCAACGCGGAAGGGAAAAACCAUUAUAGUUCAGACGCUAAUAUCCAUUGAAGAGAUUGAUAUCAAUGCAAUCAAUGGAGCUGGAGAGACCGCUUUUGCCAUUGCAGAGAAACUGGGUAAUGAAGAGCUUGUAAACAUCCUGAGGGAGGCUGGUGGAGUAACCGCAGAAGAGCAAGUAAAUCCUCCGAAAUCAAUCAAGCGUUUUAAGCAAACACAUGAUGUCCAAUCGCAGAUCAAGCAAAAGCGUCGGACAAAUAUGCAUUUCCACACGAUCAGGAAGAGUAGUCAAAAGCUCCACACUGAGGCUCCAGUCUGCGCUUUGGCAGACGCCAUGUUCAGACUUCCUGCAAAGCUUGAUGAGCUACUGAUUAGCCACGUCCACAUGCUUCCUAGGGGUGCGGAGGAUGAGAUACCUCUCAUCAAGCAAGAUCUGGAAGAGAUAAUGGCCAUUCUGCAGGAGCACGACCACCCAGGGAGAGCGGAAGACCGUGCUAUGACGAGCAAGUGCCUGACCAAGGAGGUGCGCGAGCUGUCAUACGACAUGGAGGAUAGCGUCGACCAGUACGUGCACGCCGUCGACACCAAGAGAAGGAUUGUUCCUCGCCGUAAAAAGUACAAGAUCACCUGUCGUAGGGGCAAGACCACUGCGCGGCUCCCGGAGAAGCUUAAGUGGCGUAUAUGGAUGGCCAACAAGAUCAGGGAGUUCAGUGUGCGCUCGCAAGAGGCGCUGCAGCGGUACAGCCUAUUUAACCACCCUGGUGCUCAUGGCAUCAGCACGUCUGCUACUUCUACGAGACAUGAUGUGUGUUUUGGCUCUUGGUAUCCCACACCGUGUGGGGAGCUUGUCGGUAUAGAUGGACAUUUGAAUACUCUUGAAGCGUGGUUGGGUAAGGAUGGGGAGCAGCAGCUCAAGGUGGUAUCUGUUGUUGGAUCUGGAGGGGUUGGUAAGACCACACUUUCCAAAGAGCUGUACCGUAGAAUCAGAGGGCAAUUCGAGUGCCAGGCAUUUGUGAGGACGUCCCGGAAGCCCGACAUCAGGAGGCUUCUCAUCAGCUUGCUCUCACAAGUCCGGCCACACCAAACCCCUCACACUUGGAAAUUGCAUAGUCUAAUUGCCGAUAUCAGGACACAUCUCCACGAUAAGAGGUACUUGAUCGUCAUUGAUGAUGUAUGGGCUACACAAACAUGGGAUAUCAUUAAUCGUGCUUUGCCGGCUGGUAAUCUUUGCAGUAGAAUUCUAAUAACGACAGAAGUCGAAGAUGUAGCUCUGAAAUGUUGUGGUUAUGACUCUAGGCAUGUUCUUAUGGUGAAACCACUUGGUUACGAUGAUUCAAGCAAAUUAUUUUUCAGCACAGCUUUUGGACUACAAUAUGAAUGUCCUCCAGAACUCUGUGACGCUGCACACAACAUUGUGAGGAAAUGUGCUGGUUCACCACUAGCAAUGGUUACUGUUGCUAGUCUUUUAGUAAGCCAGAUUGGCAAACCAGAGAAAUGGGAUUAUGUAAAUGAAAUCUUUGGUCACGGUUUGAGCACAUAUCCUAGCUCGGAAGGAAUGAAACAAGUACUAAACCUUAGUUACAACAAUCUUCCUCAUUAUUUGAAGGCAUGUGUGAUGUAUCUCAGUAUAUAUGAAGAGGACUACAUAAUUCAGAAAGAUGAUUUGGUAAAGCAAUGGAUAGCUGAAGGUCUUAUCCUAGCAACAGAAGAGAAAGACAAAGAGGAAAUAUCAAGGAGAUAUUUUGAUGAGCUUAUCAGUAGCAGAAUGAUCCUACCUGUGUAUACAAAUGACAACGAUGAUGUUUUGUCCUGCACACUGCAUCACAUGGUACUUGAUUUUAUCAAACACAAGUCCUUAGAAGAGAAUUUUGUCAUCGCAAUAGAUCAUAGUCAGACAACUGCACCACUCGCAGACAAGGUUCGUCGACUGUCUCUCCACUUUGGUAAUGCAGAAGCAACGCCACCAACAAAUAUGAGACUAUCACAAGUUCGGACUCUCGCAUUUUUCGGGGUCAUUGAGUGUUUGCCUUCCGUUAUAGAGUUUCGGCUUCUUCAAGUCCUAAUCCUACAUCUUUUUGGCGAUGAUGAAAGUGUCAGUUUUGAUCUCACUGGAAUAUCUGAGCUUUUUCGGUUGAGAUAUUUGCAUGUCACAUGUAAUGCCACCUUAGAAGUACCACAAACUCAGAUGCGAGGUUUACAAUAUUUGGAGACACUGAAAAUAGAUGCAAGAGUAAGUGCAGUUCCGUCGGACAUUGUUCAUUUGCCGAGCUUGUUGCACCUCAGUCUUCCUGUUGGGACAAAUCUACCAAAUGGUAUUGACCAUAUGACAUCGCUUUGCACACUUGAAUAUUUUGAUAUAAAUGUUAACUCAAUGGAGAAUGUGCACAGCCUUGGUGAGCUGACCAAUCUUCAGGAUCUUCGGCUCACAUGUUCUACAGUUCCUUCUUCUUACUUAAAGAGUAAAAUCGAUAGUAUGGGCUCUAUUCUUGCGAACCUCAGCAACCUCAGGUCUGUAACUCUGAAGUCUUCAGGUAUUCUGGAGAGUGAACCUUACAGCAUGAUCAUUUCCUGUGAUGGCUUGAGCAGCGUUUCCUCUCCUCCAGCUCUUCUUCAAAGAUUUGAGUGGUUGCCACGCAUUUGUACCUUCUCCAGCAUCCCUAAGUGGAUUAGCCAUCUCAACAAGCUCUGCAUUUUAAAGAUUGGGCUUAGGGAAUUAGUGAGCAAUGAUGUCGCUGCUCUGAGAGGAUUGCCUGCACUAACUGUUUUGUCGUUAUAUGUCCGAGCAAAGCCCGCAGAAAAAAUUGUCUUUACUAGGGCAGGAUUCUUGGUUCUCAAGUGCUUCAAGUUCAGGUGCAGUGUACCUUGGCUGGAAUUUGAGGUGGAUGCAAUGCCUAAUCUCUUGAAACUCAAGCUAAGUUUUGAUGCCCAUGGAGUAGAUCAACAUCGUACUAUACCUGUCGGCAUGGUGCACUUAACAGGCCUUAAGGAAAUCUCUGCAAAAAUUUGGGGUGCUGGUGCCAAUGAAAGAAGGGCUGCAAAAUCAGCGCUGAUUGAUGCUAUAAAAAUGCAUUCGGGAUGUCCCACCUCCAGCAUACAGUGUUUAGAUGGGAUGUUCAGUGGUAAGGAUGAUAAUAAUAGCGGGAUACAAGAGGAAGAACACUUGACUCUGCAAAAGCAAUACAAUAUCAAGGAGGAAGACUCCAAGAAACAGCAUGAUCUUCCAAAGGACUACAUGGAUGUUGCAUACAAACAAACUUCCAGCAGCAACAAUCAUAGGAAGUCCAAGCGGAUCACACAGGUGAGGAUGCAGGUGAGGGUGGGAUCGGUGCAGGACAACAGCGCCCUCGAGGAUGGCUUUAGCUGGAGGAAGUACGGCCAGAAGGAUAUCAUCGGCUCCAUGCACCCAAGAGCUUAUUUCCGGUGCACGCACAGGCACGUUAAGGGCUGCCCAGUGACCAAGCAGGUGCAGCGCACGUCUACUGACCCGCUGCUCUUUGACGUCGUGUAUCACGGGGAGCACACGUGCUUGGACUCUGUCGGAUCCCCUGCGACGUCUUGUGGCCAUGUCGCCGGCGUGGAGGUGAUGAGCAGAAGUAGGCCCGGAGUUGGAUUCGUGUCCCAGUCCCAGGCGGCGUGCAGUAGCCAGGUUAUGUCCUCCGAGGUGGUAAGCGGAAGCGGGAGUACGGCGGGACUUUGGGGUGACGAGAUUGACAUGCCGGACCCGGACCGCGAUGACACCGGCAUCAGUGCUGACUACCUCGGUGGCUACGAAUUUGAUGUCAGCGCGUUUUUUGCCUAG
rnacentral:rRNA from 1 species